rnacentral:rRNA from 1 species
AUGCUCAUCGAGCGAGGAAGUGACGAUCAAUAAUAAUGUGCGGGGUUUUCCCUGUGCAAUUACAAUGAGUAAAAUGUACAAGCGUUUUCCAUGAUCAAUUGGAGGGCAAGUCUGGUGCCAGCAGCCGCGGUAAUUCCAGCUCCAAUAGGAUAUAUCAAAGUUGUUGCAGUUGAAAAGCUCGUAGUCGUAUUUCUGGUGGGUUGAUGUUUCGUUCCUGUGCUUGGCGCAAGCUGGGCGAGGGCGGGGCCGCCUGCCAUUUUGUGGGCCAACGUGGCCAUCCUGUGGUUUACUCUGCGGGUUGGUCGCGCCACUCCGUCACUGAGAGCAAAUUGGAGUGCUCAAAGCAGGCUUUACAGCUUUGAACAUUUUAGCUUGGAAUGACAAAGGAUGACUUUUUGUUCACUUUGUUGGUUAUGAAUAGGAAGUAAUGAUAAAUAGGAACAGUUGCGGGGGUACUCGUACUGGAAAGUCAGAGGUGAAAUUCUUGGAUUUUUCCACGACGAACAACUGCGAAAGCAUUUAUCAAGGAUGUUUUCAUUGAUCAAGAACGAAAGUGCGAGGAUCGAAGAUGAUUAGAUACCAUCGUAGUUCGCACAGUAAACGAUGCCGACUCGGGAUAGAGUACUCUUCGCUAUGAUAGAAAGUUCUCUGCACCGUAUGUGAAAACAAAGUCUUUGGGUUCCGGGGGGAGUAUGGUCGCAAGGUUGAAACCUAAAGGAAUUGACGGAAGGGCACACCAGAGGUGGAGCCUGCGGUUUAAUUUGACCCAACACGGGGAAACUCACCAGGUCCAGACAUGAGAAGGAUUGACAGUUUGAAAGCACUUUCUUGAUUUCAUGGGUGGUGGUGCAUGGCCGUUCUUAGUUGGUGGAGUGAUUUGUCUGGUUGAUUCCGAUAACGAACGAGACUCUCAGAGUAAACUGGCUUGGUCGUAACUCACGUUACUUCCGGUCUCUUUUCUCGACAAUUCGUUUUAAACGAAAGGAAGCGGAGAGCAAUAACAGGUCUGUGAUGCCCCUCGAUGUUCUGGGCUACACGCGCGCUACAAUGACGAGUUCAACGAGUUGCUUCUCCUUGCCCGGAAGGGUAUGGGUAAUCUUUUCAAUGCUCGUCGUGAUGGGGCUAGAUUAUUGCAAUUAUUAAUCUUCAACGAGGAAUCUCUAGUAUGUGCAGUUCAUCAGACUGCGCAGAAUGCGUCCCUGCCCUUUGUACACACCGCCCGUCGCACCUACCGAUUAGACGAUCCGGCAAGAUGUUUGGAGUCGUGUUUGUUGGGCUUUCGGGCUUGACAGAUGUGGCAAAGCUCCU